ACUCCUACGGGAGGCAGCAGUGGGGAAUUUUGGACAAUGGGCGAAAGCCUGAUCCAGCAAUGCCGCGUGAGUGAAGAAGGCCUUCGGGUUGUAAAGCUCUUUUGUCAGGGAAGAAACGGUGAAAGCUAAUAUCUUUUGCUAAUGACGGUACCUGAAGAAUAAGCACCGGCUAACUACGUGCCAGCAGCCGCGGUAAUACGUAGGGUGCAAGCGUUAAUCGGAAUUACUGGGCGUAAAGCGUGCGCAGGCGGUUUUGUAAGUCUGAUGUGAAAUCCCCGGGCUCAACCUGGGAAUUGCAUUGGAGACUGCAAGGCUAGAAUCUGGCAGAGGGGGGUAGAAUUCCACGUGUAGCAGUGAAAUGCGUAGAUAUGUGGAGGAACACCGAUGGCGAAGGCAGCCCCCUGGGUCAAGAUUGACGCUCAUGCACGAAAGCGUGGGGAGCAAACAGGAUUAGAUACCCCAGUAGUCCC
rnacentral:rRNA from 1 species